rnacentral:rRNA from 1 species
GACGAACGCUGGCGGCGUGCUUAACACAUGCAAGUCGAACGGAGUGGCGAACGGGUGAGUAACACGUGGGUGACCUGCCCUGCACUUCGGGAGAAGCCUCGGAAACUGGGUCGAAUAACGGAUAGUGUGGGAUGGGCCCGCGGCCUAUCAGCUUGUUGGUGGGGUAAUGGCCUACCCAGGCGGCGACGGGUAGCCGGCCUGAGAGGGUGGACGGCCACAUUGGGCCUGAGACACGGCCCAGACUCCUACGGGGGGCAGCAGUGGGGAAUAUUGCACAAUGGGCGGAAGCCUGAUGCAGCGACGCCGCGUGUGGGAUGACGGCCUUCGGGUUGUAAACUCCUUUCACCAUCGACGCGGUAGAUGGAGAAGAAGCACCGGCUAACGACGUGCCAGCAGCCGCGGUAAUAC